GGAUUGUAGCUCAGUGGAAGAGUGCUUGCCUAGCAUGCGUGAGGCACUGGGUUCGGUUCUCAGCACCA
rnacentral:tRNA from 1 species